UACGAAGGGGGCUAGCGUUGUUCGGAAUUACUGGGCGUAAAGCGUAUGCAGGCGGAUCGUUAAGUCGGGGGUGAAAUCCCGAGGCUCAACCUCGGAACUGCCUUCGAUACUGGCGAUCUUCGAGUCCGGGAGAGGUGAGUGGAACUCCGAGUGUAGAGGUGAAAUUCGUAGAUAUUCGGAAGAACACCAGUGGCGAAGGCGGCUCACUGGCCCGGUACUGACGCUGAGGCGCGAAAGCGUGGGGAGCAAACAGG
rnacentral:rRNA from 1 species